rnacentral:rRNA from 1 species
GACGAACGCUGGCGGCGUGCCUAAUACAUGCAAGUCGAACGAGAGCGACCGGUGCUUGCACUGGUCAAUCUAGUGGCGAACGGGUGAGUAACACGUGGGUAACCUGCCCAUCAGAGGGGGAUAACAUCCGGAAACGGAUGCUAAAACCGCAUAGGUCUUCGAACCGCAUGGUUUGAAGAGGAAAAGAGGCGCAAGCUUCUGCUGAUGGAUGGACCCGCGGUGCAUUAGCUAGUUGGUGAGGUAACGGCUCACCAAGGCCGUGAUGCAUAGCCGACCUGAGAGGGUGAUCGGCCACAUUGGGACUGAGACACGGCCCAAACUCCUACGGGAGGCAGCAGUAGGGAAUCUUCCGCAAUGGACGCAAGUCUGACGGAGCAACGCCGCGUGAGUGAAGAAGGUUUUCGGAUCGUAAAACUCUGUUGUUAGAGAAGAACAAGUGCUAGAGUAACUGUUAGCGC